CACCAUCAAGCUCUAAUCCUCGAGCCCAAAAAGCCCAUCUCUCUCUUCCCCGCAAAAGACCUCUCCAGAGUUCUCAGUAGGGUAAAAAGGUUGAAGGAGAGCAGAGAUAAAACAUUGAUAAAGAUUUUAGUUGAAGAACAUGUGAAGGUGAGGGAUGAACUUGAACAUCUACUGGAUGAUGACAUGGAUAUGGCAAAGAUGUACCUUACGUAGAAGCUUAUGUCUAAUCGAGUUGGCGAGAUGUCUUCGAGAGGGGAUCUUGAUAAAUGAUGGUUCUGAAAUGGAUGAAAAGAGGAACUUGGAUUUAAUUAUCUUGGAAGUAGAGAGCAACUUAUCAUGAGAUUACAAGCAAACUAAAAUAUUUAAACAUUUGUUCUCUUCUUUCUUUUCUUUCACCUUUUCCUCUCUUUCCAUUGUGUUUCUUUUUUUCCUUCAUGUAUUACAAGCAAACUGGAAUAUUUAAACAAGCUUUUGAGUGUUGACUUGGAAAUGGAAAUGAAUAUAACUAUUUUACAAUGGGAGCAAA